rnacentral:lncRNA from 1 species
AUAAGAUUCAGUUCCUUCUUUGCAUAUUAUACUUCCUGCCUAAGUGCUGAUGGGCUGUGGAAACAAUGACUAACAUGAAGCACUGUAUGCUGAAUUCCCAGACACUAAGUAAAGAAUGAUUCAGAAGACAGAUAUAUAUAUAUGUUUUUAAUCUUUGGGCAUUUAACGUAUUCAAAAAGCUGAUGUAUGAACAAAUACGUAGAUCAUAAAUAGAAGUGUUUCA